rnacentral:rRNA from 1 species
UACGGGGGGAGCAAGCGUUGUUCGGAUUUACUGGGCGUAAAGGGCGCGUAGGCGGCCACCGCAAGUCGACUGUGAAAUCUCCGGGCUUAACUCGGAAAGGUCAACUGAUACUGUGCGACUAGAGUGCGGAAGGGGCAACUGGAAUUCUUGGUGUAGCGGUGAAAUGCGUAGAUAUCAAGAGGAACAGCCUGAGGUGAAGACGGGUUGCUGGGCUGACACUGACGCUGAGGCGCGAAAGCGUGGGGAGCGAACAGG